UACAGAGGGGGCAAGCGUUGUUCGGAAUUACUGGGCGUAAAGGGCGCGUAGGCGGCCUUCUAAGUCGAACGUGAAAUCCCCGGGCUCAACCCGGGAACUGCGUCCGAUACUGGAAGGCUUGAAUUCGGGAGAGGGAUGCGGAAUUCCAGGUGUAGCGGUGAAAUGCGUAGAUAUCAGGAAGAACACCCGUGGCGAAAGCGGCUCUCUGGGACGUGACUGACGCUGAGACGCGAAAGCGUGGGGAGCGAACAGG
rnacentral:rRNA from 1 species